AUUGAACGCUGGCGGCAUGCCUUACACAUGCAAGUCGAACGGCAGCACGGGUGCUUGCACCUGGUGGCGAGUGGCGAACGGGUGAGUAAUACAUCGGAACGUACCAUAUCGUGGGGGAUAACGCAGCGAAAGCUGUGCUAAUACCGCAUACGCCCUGAGGGGGAAAGCGGGGGAUCGCAAGACCUCGCGCGAUUAGAGCGGCCGAUGCCUGAUUAGCUUGUUGGUGGGGUAAAAGCCCACCAAGGCGACGAUCAGUAGCUGGUCUGAGAGGACGAUCAGCCACACUGGGACUGAGACACGGCCCAGACUCCUACGGGAGGCAGCAGUGGGGAAUUUUGGACAAUGGGGGCAACCCUGAUCCAGCAAUGCCGCGUGAGUGAAGAAGGCCUUCGGGUUGUAAAGCUCUUUUGUCAGGGAAGAAACACCGGCUCUAACACAGUCUGGGAAUGACGGUACCUGAAGAAUAAGCACCGGCUAACUACGUGCCAGCCGCCGCGGUAA
rnacentral:rRNA from 1 species